rnacentral:misc_RNA from 1 species
AACGCACCUUGCGCCCCUUGGCAUUCCGAGGGGCAUGCCCGUUUGAGUGUCUUGAAUUCAUCCUCCCGCCGGUUUCGCGACCGGUCGGGUUGGGACUUGGGGGUUUGCAACCGCGUGAGCGGAGGCUCCCCUCGAAUGUAUCGGUGGGAUUUUGCCGGGCCGCAUCCCUUGGGCGUUGUAUUGUCCUCGUCCGCAGCGGAUUGCCCCGGCGUCGCCCGCCUAGACCUUGCCUUUCGAGAGGCGGUCAACCAGGCGGCUUUUUUGCCGUCUUGAAAUCUGACCUCAAAUCGGGUAGGACUACCCGCUGAACUUAA